AGCUACAUAUUAAAGAGAUUUAUUUAUAUAAAUAGGCUUGCUAGCUGAUUGUAUAUAUAUGCUGGCCGUAUUUCAUAGCAAGCUCGCUUUUAAUAGGCAACCAGUAAUAUGAGCAAUUCUUUACCUACAAGCCUAUAAUUAUAUUAACUCUAAGAGAAAUCUAAUAAUAAACGGAGUGAAUUGAAAUAUCUUAUUAACUUCAGGAAAAGAAAUCAAAAGAGAUUCUAUGAUUAGCGUGAGCUAAAAUAGAGUAGCCUAGAAAGUCAAAUGGUGGAUAAACUGUUUAAAUUUAAUGGGGAACCUUCCUCAAAGGCUAAAUAUAAUAUGUAAGCGAUAGUGGAAAGUACCGUGAGGGAACCAAAACAAAAACAGUGAUUUUAUAAGCAGUUCGGAAAAAUAAAAAAGUUAGAACGUACCUUUUGCAUAAUGGGUCACCAAGUUAACAUUAGAUGCGAGAUUCUACGUAGUUAAACCGAGCGUUAAAAUAACGGUAAGUGUCUAAAGUUAGACCCGAAGCCUGGUGAUUUUACCAUAAUCAGGAUUAUAAAAGUCCGAACGGAAUAUUGUAGCAUAAAUAUCCGAAGAAUUAUGGUAGGUGUAGUGAAAGACAAUACUGACCAGGAUAGCUGGUUUUCUGCGAAACCUAUAACAGUAGGCAAUUUAAGUAUAAUAUCUUAGCAGGUACAGAAUUUAAUCUCAGACAAGACAUAAGGCUUAACUUGUUAACAAGUUAAGCCCAUGUUUUAUUUUGUACAAAUUGGGGGAUCAUGAAGAUUUUAUCAGUGAGUAUGUAGACUCGGAAUGGCAAAGAUAUAUCUUAAAUCAUCAGACAUAGAAUGAUAAGGUUGUAUGUCAAAAGGGAAACAGCCCAGAACAAGAGUUAAGGUUCCUAAAUUAUUAGUUGAGUGAAAUUAAGAAGGUUUUUAUUAAAGUCGACAAGGAGAUAGGCUUAGAAGCAGCCAUAAUUUUAUGACCUCGUAACAGAGCGCUUGUUAAGUUUUAAAAGCAUCGAAAAUUUAUCGGAUCUAAACAAUAUACCGAAACCUUGUCCAUAUUAUUUUAUAAUUAAUAGUCUCAGCAAGCUCGGACUAUACAAUUAUAAUUAAAUGGGGUAGCAGAACGUUGAGCUAAAUUAAGAUUUUUAUUUUUUAAAUGAAAUUAUAAUAAUUUAACUCAAGUGAUAAUGGUGACAUGAGUAACUAAAAGAAAAUUUUCCGCCUAAAGCUUAUGGAUGUAAUUAAGUAACGGCCUCUAAGUUUAUGGAAUCAAAAGAUUAAAACGAUGAGACAAUCUUUCAUACUAAGGACGACAUUUUAAGUGCAAAAUGUACUGGAAAAAUAGUAAUAAGUUUAAGCUAUAGCUAGUUCUAGCCAUAGCUGUAAAUGGAAAGUAACCGUACCUAGAAUCUGAAACAAGUAAGCUAGUAGAGAAUACGAAGGCGUAAAUGAGCUAACAAUCAUAAAGGAACUCGGCAAAUUGACUACCGUAACUUCGGGAUAAGGAGAGCUCAUUAUUCUUGAUUAAUAUCAGGUAAAGAGGAAGAAGCAUGAAAUAGUGUUGUACGACUGUUUAAUUAAAACACAGCACUUUGCUGAAAGAUUAAAAAUCUAAGUAUAGAGUGUGAUGUCUGCCCGGUGCCGGCUGGUUAACAGAUAUAAUUAAAUAUACUAAUAUUUGAUGUAGACGGAAACCCCGGUUAAAGGCGGCCUUAACGUGAGGGUCCUAAGGUAGCGAAAUGCCUUGGCCGUUAAAUGCGGUCUUGCAUGAAUGAUGUAACGAUACAACAGCUGUCUCUAUGAUUGACUCAGUGAAAUUGGAAUAGCUGUGCAGAUACAGUUUACCUCUAGUUAGACGAGAAGACCCUAUGCAGCUUUACUGUCACUAAUUAUAGAGUAUGAUAAACAAUUUUCAGUUUAUAAGGUAAUUGACGGCCGGCUUGCUUAGCAAGCUGGCUCUAUGACAAUGAGAAUCCUUUAUUUUUUUUUCAUAUGAAUGAAUUGGUUUAGGACGAGCUUAAGCUCGUAGUAAAUCAACCUAAUUCAGCUUAUUUUCCUUUCUGCUGUAAGCGCAUAAUGAUAGAUUAUACUUAAAUUUGGAUUUAUGCCUGCAGAAAUAGAUAAGUACCCUUGGUUAAGGAACUAUCGCUAGGGGACAGUUUAUGUGGGGCACAGACCCUGUAAAGAGUAAACAGGAGUGUCUAAUAAUUUAUAAUUAUUUUGUUUGCGAUUUAAGGUAGUAGAACUAUUUUUAAUCAUAUAAAAUUAUUUAUAUGUACAUUCGUUGUAUAUAUAUUUAAAAAAAGGUAGGAUUUUCACUAUAUAGAAAUUAGAGAUAAUAAAAAUAUUAAGUAGUAGCUGCUGAGUCCUAAUCCCGCCGAAGGGGGGAUAUGGACUACUAUGUAUUUCAUAGCAAGCUCGCACUAAUAUUUUUUAACUAUUAAGACUGGCUAUCUAGCUAUGCUCUAAUAGUUAUGUUUUAAUUAUCUAAAAAGCUCAACGGCUAAAUCUUGCCUUACUGUUUGAUUAUCAACAAAUCUUACAGUUGCGUAAGCAGGGCAUAGGAUCACAAGAUGCAACAAGGAAAGAUCUUGGAUUAUUGGAAAAGCUACGCUAGGGAUAACAGGCUAAUUUGCGCAAGAGUGUACAAAAUGAGUGCGCGGUUUGGCACCUCGAUGUCGGCUUAACUUAUCCUCAUGGAUGCAGGAACUAUGUAGGGUGCGACUGUUCGUCGAUUAAAAAGUUACAUGAGCUGGGUUAAAUACGUCGUGAGACAGUAUGGUUUCUAUCUUCUAGGGGGAAUUAGAAUAUAAUAAGAACUAACUUUUGUACGAAAGGAACAAGAAGAAUUUAAUUUGUAAAAGGGUUAAAUAAUAGUUACUAACCUAUGGUUUACCUGUUGUCUAUGUGCCCAAAUAUUAAAAUAUAGGAUAAAAAUUCUAUAUAUCUGUAUAGCUUUAGCUAUACAUAGGGAUGUUUCUUUCACUAAGAUAAAUAUAUAGCAUAGGCACGGCAGGAAAGCUAAGUUGGUUAAGGAUAAGUGCUGAAAGCAUAUAGGCACGAAGCUUAUCUUAAGAUAUUUCUUAAAUAUACGUAAAAUAUUAUUACGAAGGAUUAAUAUAGGCUUUAUCCGUACGAAUCUGGAGAUUUUUAAGAAUAAAGUACUAAUUUUAUAAAUAACUAUUUAU
rnacentral:rRNA from 1 species